rnacentral:rRNA from 1 species
CCGUAUGUAGUCUACUGUAGUGGCUGUUAGCUCGGCUUGUACGAAGCAUGUGCUCGCCUGUCAUCUUUAUCUCUCCACCUGUGCACCUUUUGUAGUCUUGGAUACCUCUCGAGGCAACUCGGAUUUUGGGAUCGCGUCAGCUUUCCUUGCAUUUCCAAGACUAUGUUUUUAUAUACACCAAAGCAUGUUUAAAGAAUGUCAUCAAUAGGAACUUGUUUCCUAUAAAAAUUAUACAACUUUCAGCAACGGAUCUCUUGGCUCUCGCAUCGAUGAAGAACGCAGUGAAAUGCGAUAAGUAAUGUGAAUUGCAGAAUUCAGUGAAUCAUCGAAUCUUUGAACGCACCUUGCGCUCCUUGGUAUUCCGAGGAGCAUGCCUGUUUGAGUGUCAUUAAAUUCUCAACCUUCCAGCUUUUAUUAGCUUGGUUAGGCUUGGAUGUGGGGGUUGCUGGCUUCACUUAUGAGGUCAGCUCUCCUUAAAUGCAUUAGCGAAACUUUUGUGGACCGUCUAUUGGUGUGAUAAUUAUCUACGCCGUGGAUGUGAAGCAGCUUUAUGAAGUUCAGCUUCUAACAGUCCAUUGACUUGGACAAUUUUUGACAAUUUGACCUCAAAUCAGGUAGGACUACCCGCUGAACUUAAGCAUAUCAAUAAGCGGAGGAAAAGAAACUAACAAGGAUUCCCCUAGUAACUGCGAGUGAAGCGGGAAAAGCUCAAAUUUAAAAUCUGGCAGUCUUUGGCUGUCCGAGUUGUAAUCUAGAGAAGCAUUAUCCGCGCUGGACCGUGUACAAGUCUCCUGA